CAGCCAGGUAAAGUUAGGAAAUAGAUCCUCUUGAUCGGGUAACUAGAUAUAAAUAAAUACAUAAACGGGUAAUUCUGUGCUACCGCGCGCAAAUUCUUGUUUCUAUCCUAGGUCUCACAGAAAUACAUCCCUCCGUCAUCAAUAGCCGAGUGAAACAAGGUGGACAUCACAGGAUUUUAUAGAUUAUAUAUAUCGAACAUUCGCUAUGCAACACAGCUACAGACAAUUUAACUUAAUCUCUUUAAUUCUUUCGGAGGCAUGGGGAAAAAAUUAUCGCCAAAUCACACACACACACACACAAAUAUAUACACAUAUGGUACAUAUGAUACUAUGACAAGGAAAGGGAAUAUUAUAAUACAUUACUCAUUCAGAUCAUCAACAUAACAUAACCAUAACAUUCAAAUCCAUUCUUCCUUCUGAUAGAACCAACACGCAGAUCUCCCUGGGAGUAUUAUUCCCAUUUAUCCUUUACGUAGAUGGAAGUAAGCGUGGUCCACAUGUAAGGCGCAUAUGCUCAUAAUGAUUACCUCACCGCCACAGCUGACUUCCAAGCGCAUCAUCCAUAAAGGAAGAUUGCAAGAAAAUUUCCCAAGGCAGAGGUGGUUUUCUUCCUGUAAUGCCGUUGCUGGCAAAACGGCAGUCCAAG
rnacentral:sRNA from 1 species